GGGGGCGAUCGGCUUCGACGGGUGGUCGAAGGGAAACGCUGCGUGCCGACGUCGUCACAUUCGUCGCUAAACAGGUGGCACCGUUGGUAGUAACAACUGCCGACUCUGACUACGCACUCGCGGCCUAGCCGAAACUAGGUACGCGACGACCGUCCCCGACGCCUUCUAGGGGGUCGCGGUCGUCAUCAGAGGGCUGGUCGCCGGCGUCCUGUCUGGCCGCGCCGGCGACGAGAAACAGGCCGGGCUGGGUGCGGCUCUCCUGCUUUCGUGACCUGUCGCACCGAGAUCGAACGGAAGCUACGCCCGUAGACGCGUUUUCUGGACAUCAUUCGGACCCGGGUUCGAUUCCCGGCGCCUCCACCA
rnacentral:tmRNA from 1 species